rnacentral:tRNA from 1 species
AGGGAUAUAGCUCAGUGGUAGAGCACUUGCCUAGCAUGUGGUAGGCCCGGGUUCCACCCCAGUUACCUUG